GAAGUUUCCUUUCUGAUGAGCUGCCCUCUGACUACGAUGAUGUGGAGGACAGUGAGGGGAACCCCAUCCCAGGUGAAUCGAUGCCCUCUCUGGAAGGAGAGACCCCAGGGCACUAUGACGAUGCCGUCCCUAUGAACAGUAACCCAGAAGAUUUAUCAGGGAGUUUUGAUUCUGAUGAACUUCCCUCUGGCUACUAUGAUGUGGAGAACAGUGAGG